CACUUGUGCUCUAACUAUGUACAGGCUAUAAAAAACAGUGCAAGCAAUGAUCUUUCAGAUCUGAAAAGUUCUGUGACAAAGGUAAACAUUUAAGUGAUUGGGGUUAUAUGGUGAUAAGUGUCUGGUGAUUUUGUACCACGUGACGUUAAGUUACCAACCAAUAGAGUCUCGCGAACACUAAUGGAUAGGUUAGAAGUUUUAUUUUAAUAAAAGAAAGUUGUGAUUGUCAUAUUAGCGAUCCUAUCAUAUUUUUUUAUCCCCCAGCUCAACAAAGCUUUUCAAAGUAACUUAAGGGAGUCGCACCAGAAUGAGACCCAGAACUCAGCCUACGAGGAAUGUAAAUCUAAAUGUUGCUGUGCAGCAAAUUCUUCCGAAGACGUAAAAACACCCCCAGCCGUUGAAAGUUGUAAAGAGCUGUACAACACAAAUGGAUCUGAAGCCAACAAAGCCUACCCUUUGAGGCUAGGGAAAAAGAUCCUUCCAGUUUACUGUCACAUGACAGCUCUUGAUGGAUGUGGGGGUGGUGGCUGGACUCUGGUAAUGAAGAUGGAUGGUUCCAAGGUAAACAUAAAACGAUGUUGAUAAAAAUGCUCAAACAGAUAGUUCUGUCUCUUCUUUUAAUCAAUAAAAUGGUUUAUUAAGAAAAUUGUUCAGAUGCGUUCAUUGGAAUUCAAAUAAACCGAAAUCCAUCGUCACUAAAAAG